GACGUAGGGGGCGAGCGUUGUCCGGAUUCACUGGGCGUAAAGCGCGCGUAGGCGGCUCGCUAAGUCGGAUGUGAAAACCCGGGGCUCAACCCCGGGCCUGCACCCGAUACUGGCGGGCUGGAGGCAGGUAGGGGAGAUCGGAAUUCCCGGUGUAGCGGUGAAAUGCGCAGAUAUCGGGAGGAACACCGGUGGCGAAGGCGGAUCUCUGGGCCUGUCCUGACGCUCAGGCGCGAAAGCUAGGGGAGCAAACAGG
rnacentral:rRNA from 1 species